rnacentral:lncRNA from 1 species
CUGGCACUGUUGGGUAGCAUUAAGGAAGAGAUUUUGGCUGAUACGGGUGAGCUGAGAAAAGCAGAGGCAGCUGCUGUUUCGGAGGUGGAAGGCAAUGACACCAUGGGCCUCAUGACUUGUUUGUCUGUUUUGUUUGUCACAAAUCUUAUAACAGUCCGCACUUCCUCAACCGGAGUGUUUCCUUCUGACUUCUCCUCCAGUUUUUCUGUUUUGAUUGGCUUGUAAGUGUCUGGCUGGUUCUGCAGAGAGUUGAUGGUGAAGGAGGAAUACAGGCCGGAGUGGAUGUACUCGUUGCGGCUCGUGCUUUUCAGUGCCGACAAGCUGUGCUUGUGCACGUCCCUGCUCUCGGUGGCCAUCUUACAGUCGCUGUCCUGCAGCAAAAGGCUCUCUCUGCUGAUUUCCACGGCGUGUGGAUCCAUCUUUAAAAUCUCAGGGAAGGACACAAACUUGUACACAAAUUUUUGUCCAAUCACCUUCUUGAUGAUGUUCUUGUCAUAAUAGUAUCUGAGCGCUCGGCUCAGCUUGUCAUAGUUCAUAUUAGUUUUGUUUUUUCUGAGUCCCCACAGCUUAGCCACUUCUUCUGCCUUGAGUAGCUUGAAUUCGCCAUCAUUAGAUGUCCAGCAAAUCAGGUGCUCAUGUUUCUGGUCUAGCAGCAACUGCAAAAGGAACUGCCACAGUGUGAUUGCACUCUCCAUACCCAGAGCGUGCGGGUCCCUCCCGCUGCCUCGCGGUGUUCAGAGGGAGCUGGGUAAAACCCCCCGCUUUCCCAUGCUGACAGCCUUCUGCAAACGCUCUGUUGCUGUUGUAAUGAGAUCCUGAUUUUUUUCCCCGUUUUUUUUUUUUUUGGUUGUUUUUUUUUUUUUCGGCCGGGGUGUGUGUGUGUGUGUGUGUGUGUGUAUGUCUGUGUGAGCAGGAAGUCGGAGCAGUCAGACAGAGAGCCGGCUCACUUCCUUUCCUGCAUUAUUCCCCAGGCGGUUUGCAGUCUGUGUAAACAGGCUUUUCCUCCCCUCUCCCCUC